GUUCUUUCCAGUCAUUUAUUCCUCAAGUGCUUGAAUUUUACACCUUUUUUCUUCUGUAACAGAAUCUUUUCCCAAACAACCAACAUUUUAAUGGAAGAAAUUGAGUUCUGCAAUUGCUAAUGUGGAUUUUUCUCCUGUCCCAUUUUCUAAUAAGAAGGAAAAUUUCGAGCCUGGAAUUUUGCUUGGUAAUUGAUAAGUAAAGCCUUCUUUUAACACUCUGCAUUUUUCACAUGUAUACUAGUAUUAGUAUCUAAAUUACAUUAAAAUCUCAAUAAUUUGGUAUCAAUUGACUUGGAAUUUGUGACACUUGGGCUAGAUAGUGUAUUUACUUGUAUCACUGAAAGAGACGAGUUACUAAAAUGAGAAGGGUAAGUUUAAAAUAACCACAGAAAUAAGCCUUUAAUGAACUUUAUAUAUGUAUACACUCAAUUUUGAACAAUCACUCUUUAAAUCAGGAGAUAUUUUAUAUACUCAGUAGUUAUUGUGAGUUACUUAUACAUCAUAGAAUUUUGAGCUGAAAGAAAGGUAACAAUCACCUAGCUGAAUUUCCUUUAUAUUCCAGAAGAGGAGAGAAUCUAACUAGGCAUGUGCAAGCCUGAAGCUGCCAAGUAACAUGUAGAGGCAGUUAUCUGAGUAAUGCCAACUAAUGAAAGCUGGACAAAGAGGAGAUAUCUGGGCUUGAUAAUAUCAUAAGAGCUACUGAAUCCAUCCAUGAUCUGACUUCUAAGACUUUCAGUUAUAUGGAACAUAAAGUUUCCUUUGCAUAAUAUACUUUGUGAUAUAUUCUGUUAAUAUGCAACCAAGAGUCUCAAUAAUAGAUUUAUUUUAAACUAAAUAUUAAUAUAUAUUUUAUACAAAACUCAAUGAAAUACAUUUAUUAAUUUAGGAAUGUGCUUAUAUGAUAGUUAAACUUUUA
rnacentral:lncRNA from 1 species